rnacentral:rRNA from 1 species
GUGGAUUAGAUACCCUGGUAGUCCAGACCGUAAACGGUGGGCACUAGUUGUGGGAACCUUCCACGGUUUCUGCGACGCAGCUAACGCAUUAAGUGCCCCGCCUGGGGAGUACGAUCGCAAGAUUAAAACUCAAAGGAAUUGACGGGGCCCCGCACAAGCAGCGGAGCAUGCGGCUUAAUUCGACGCAACGCGAAGAACCUUACCAAGGCUUGACAUAUACAGGAAUAUGGCAGAGAUGUCAUAGCCGCAAGGUCUGUAUACAGGUGGUGCACGGUUGUCGUCAGCU